GAUGAACGCUGGCGGCGUGCCUAAUACAUGCAAGUCGAGCGAACGGACGAGAAGCUUGCUUCUCUGAUGUUAGCGGCGGACGGGUGAGUAACACGUGGAUAACCUACCUAUAAGACUGGGAUAACUUCGGGAAACCGGAGCUAAUACCGGAUAAUAUUUUGAACCGCAUGGUUCAAAAGUGAAAGACGGUCUUGCUGUCACUUAUAGAUGGAUCCGCGCUGCAUUAGCUAGUUGGUAAGGUAACGGCUUACCAAGGCAACGAUGCAUAGCCGACCUGAGAGGGUGAUCGGCCACACUGGAACUGAGACACGGUCCAGACUCCUACGGGAGGCAGCAGUAGGGAACCUUCCGCAAUGGGCGAAAGCCUGACGGAGCAACGCCGCGUGAGUGAUGAAGGUCUUCGGAUCGUAAAACUCUGUUAUUAGGGAAGAACAUAUAUGUAAGUAACUGUGCACAUCUUGACGGUACCUAAUCAGAAAGCCACGGCUAACUACGUGCCAGCAGCCGCGGUAAUACGUAGGUGGCAAGCGUUAUCCGGAAUUAUUGGGCGUAAAGCGCGCGUAGGCGGUUUUUUAAGUCUGAUGUGAAAGCCCACGGCUUAACCGUGGAGGGUCAUUGGAAACUGGAAAACUUGAGUGCAGAAGAGGAAAGUGGAAUUCCAUGUGUAGCGGUGAAAUGCGCAGAGAUAUGGAGGAACACCAGUGGCGAAGGCGACUUUCUGGUCUGUAACUGACGCUGAUGUGCGAAAGCGUGGGGAUCAAACAGGAUUAGAUACCCUGGUAGUCCACGCCGUAAACGAUGAGUGCUAAGUGUUAGGGGGUUUCCGCCCCUUAGUGCUGCAGCUAACGCAUUAAGCACUCCGCCUGGGGAGUACGACCGCAAGGUUGAAACUCAAAGGAAUUGACGGGGACCCGCACAAGCGGUGGAGCAUGUGGUUUAAUUCGAAGCAACGCGAAGAACCUUACCAAAUCUUGACAUCCUUUGACAACUCUAGAGAUAGAGCUUUCCCCUUCGGGGGACAAAGUGACAGGUGGUGCAUGGUUGUCGUCAGCUCGUGUCGUGAGAUGUUGGGUUAAGUCCCGCAACGAGCGCAACCCUUAAGCUUAGUUGCCAUCAUUAAGUUGGGCACUCUAAGUUGACUGCCGGUGACAAACCGGAGGAAGGUGGGGAUGACGUCAAAUCAUCAUGCCCCUUAUGAUUUGGGCUACACACGUGCUACAAUGGACAAUACAAAGGGCAGCGAAACCGCGAGGUCAAGCAAAUCCCAUAAAGUUGUUCUCAGUUCGGAUUGUAGUCUGCAACUCGACUACAUGAAGCUGGAAUCGCUAGUAAUCGUAGAUCAGCAUGCUACGGUGAAUACGUUCCCGGGUCU
rnacentral:rRNA from 1 species